CGGCUCCACACUCUAACCUCCUGCUUGGUAAAAUCAUCAUCUUGCCGGUUGGAUAUGCACGGAUCGGAACAUAAUUUCCAAGGGUGAUUAGCGCUACAAAGCGGAUCUCCUUUUGAUCUCCAAACACGUGAUUUUUGUGUUGAUUUUUUUUCAUCCCAAAAGGGUUAUCCCCACCCACCGAUCUUCCUGACCCGCUACUUUCCACUCCCCACGCUGAAGUGCCAGCACUCUGUUAAGGACGCAGGGCGCAUUCACGCGUGCUUUAGGCGCUAUAAAUCGAGAAGUAUGCUAUAUACCUCGAAUUGACGCAAAGUAGCCAAUCAUUUUAUUAAACGUGAUACAUUUGAGCAGACAUAGCCUAAUAGAGGUUUGCUUUAGGUAUGGACGUGAGAUGUAAUAGCCAACGUGGUUAAACUAUUCUUUAACGCUGUUAGGUUGUGUCUUGUUGAAGGGGUGAUUCGCUCAUGACUAUCUUUCUAAACCCCUUGGUCCGGUGAAACGCUACGCCACAGUUUAUAGGGAAGAUUCGCUCAGGAUCGAAGUUUCUUGAAGAUAGGAACGACCUUAGAAGAACCAUUACACUUGUCAAAGCGCUCCAUUAUUUAAGCCGGCUAUUUUUUUCUACCUCCAUUCAGUUAUGUUUAUCUGUUGGUUAGAACUGUAUCUAUUUGUGUCACCGGGCAUUACAUUAACGAUCCAUCUGGCCGUAUUGGGAGAGAUUAAGAAGUUACAAAGGAGCCUAUAGUUUCCGGUGGGUUUUUUGUUGUGACGAAUGGAAGCAUAUUUAAGAAAUAAAAAGCACAGUUUAAGCUUA